CCGGUGGUGUGAUCCUCCGUGUGAUCCUCCGUGUGAUCCCCCGUUGGGAUGUUGUGGGCACCUGCUCUGUGCCCCACACUUGCCACGCGCUUCUCAUGGACUUUCCCUGGAUGCCAGGACAUUUAUCCAGCACCUGCUGUGUACCAGGCUCUGUUCUAGGUGCUGAGUAUACAAGAAUGGAGAAGUUCACCUAAAAUGUUACCAUCUUCUCUACAAUAUCUUACCUCAACAACACACUCUUGUGCCUGGAUUGUUGCAAUUGCUUCCGAAUCAGUUUUUCUGUCUCCACUCUUAAUGUCAUUCAAGACUUUCUGCACCUGACAGCACAACAGUCCCUCCAAAGUGUCACUCAGCAGCUUAACCCCCCCACACUGCCCUCGGGAGCAGCCCCCCAGUGUCUCACAGGGCUGAGAUGAUGCCCUCCUUGACUUGAACCUUCAUGCUUCUCAGAGAAACGCCUUUCAACUUGGUGCUGUCAGACCCACGUAGACUCUGCUGAAGCACAGCCAGUUCCUCUCAAUUCUCGAAUGAGCCACCUUCCCUCUCACCUCCAAGUGGCGGCUCACGCUGUUGACUGCCUGCACGAUGUUCUCCCUGGCUCUGCAGUUAAUUGCCUGUGUAUCACUCCUGCACCAUGGAGAAGGCAAUCAGAAACAUCCUUCCUCCU
rnacentral:lncRNA from 10 species